rnacentral:rRNA from 1 species
AACGAACGCUGGCGGCAGGCCUAACACAUGCAAGUCGAGCGCCCCGCAAGGGGAGCGGCGGACGGGUGAGUAACGCGUGGGAACGUGCCCUUUGCUACGGGAUAGCCCCGGGAAGCUGGGAGUAAUACCGUAUAAGCCCUACGGGGGAAAGAUUUAUCGGCAAAGGAUCGGCCCGCGUUGGAUUAGGUAGUUGGUGGGGUAAUGGCCUACCAAGCCGACGAUCCAUAGCUGGUUUGAGAGGAUGAUCAGCCACACUGGGACUGAGACACGGCCCAGACUCCUACGGGAGGCAGCAGUGGGGAAUCUUAGACAAUGGGCGCAAGCCUGAUCUAGCCAUGCCGCGUGAGCGAUGAAGGCCUUAGGGUUGUAAAGCUCUUUCGUGGGGGAAGAUAAUGACUGUACCCCAAGAAGAAGCCCCGGCUAGCUCCGUGCCAGCCGCCGCCGUAAGAC